GGGUUCGCAAGGCACUGAGGUAAGAAAGACAAAAAGGUGAGUUUCAUGUCUCACACCCUCAUCACCAGAGAGGAACAACAAAGAAAGCGUUUUGACAAGUUGUGGACUGGGAUCCCUCUUCACUGGAUAGGGACCCUUUCCUGUCUAGGCAGGAUGGAGCAGUGCAUGGUGAAGCCAGAUGUGAAAAGAAAUCAACAGAAACAGGUGAGAGCAUACUGCUACAGCAAAACAACAUAUCUCUUAUACAACACUUCUAAAACACUUCUUCUUCUUAAAAAAACAUUGUUUAUGUGUUGUUUUUUAGACCGACUGUAGGCCAACUAAGAUUAUAAUAACCUAUCUGACCCUAUAACACAAACCACCACAUCAAAACUCUACUUGAAUACAUUACGAGACUCGUUACAAAACAAAAUGAACACUGAAGACAUCGUUCUAUAAACACCAUUUUCAGAUGAAUAAACCAAGAAAGAACAUUAAGCUGAACAUAGGCCUACUGUCAAUACCGCAUAGUUGAAUACACUAACUCGUAUCUCCUCUCUCGUCACGUCCCUCUCUUCACAGCCUUUACCUCCACCGAAGCCUGCAAAGGAGGUAUACUAUAAUAUUUAAAAGCUUUGGAUUACAGAGGACUCACCUUCCUCCUGAGUUAUGUAAUGUCAUGUUUUAAACUUCUGUUCUGUAUGAGAAACCCUGCUGUAGGGUAGCACCAUGGUGUAGGCGGAGGACAGCUCGUUUUUGUCCUCCUCUGGGUACAUUGACUUCAAUACAAAACCAAGGAGGCUCAUGGUUCUCAUCCCUUCCAUAUAUUUACACUUGAGUUAAGUCCUCCAACCUAUCAGAGCUCUUGCAGCAUGAACUGACAUGUUGUCCACCCAAUGAAAGGAUCUAGUACUAAAAGCAUAAACUACAGCUAGCUGGCGCUGCAGUGCAUAAAAUGUGGUGAGUAGUUAACUCAAAGAGAGAGAAAGACAAUAGUUGAACAGUUUUGAACAAAUGUAUUUCUUCAAAAAUAAAGGAGAAGCGAGAGAGCUAGCUAUAUUUAAUAUUGUAACGGCUGUCGUAGAGAGGGGACCAAAGCGCAGCAUGUUGAUUGCUCAUGAUAAAUAUUUAUUUUAACUCAAACCACUAAAGAAAAAAUAACAAAGAGAAGACAAAAGCACACAGUUCUGUCAGGUACAGAAAACUAAACAGAAGACAACUACCCACAACCACAGGUGGGAAAAACCCCUACUUAAGUAUGAUCUCCAAUUAGAGACAACGAGGACCAGCUGCCUCUAAUUGGAGAUCAUCCCCCCCAAAAAACAUAGAAAUAGAAAAACUAGAACCUAAACAUAGAUAUACAAAACAUAGAACAACACAAAACACCCCCUGUCACGCCCUGACCUACUCUACCAUAGAAAUUAACAUCUUACUAUGGUCAGGAUGUGACAAAUAUCUUUUUACAUUUUCACUUUCUCUUAUUUAGCUAGCAAAUGCAGCUAACGUUAGCUAGCUAGUUUAGACUACUCAAACACCUGGUUCUAACAGAGAGAUGCUAUUUAUCUAGCUGGCUAUGGAUAUCCAACACUGGAACUCUUCCAAGUCAAGGUAAGUGUCUUGUUUUGUACGCUUUGUACAAAUAAUAAAACGCAGAACUACAGGAUGUUUCUUAACAUAACUCUUUAUUAACUAGCUACAACUGCAUGUUCGCCUAUCUCCAACCACGAUCAACUGACGAUGCCCUAACCGUCUGGGUGGUCUUAACCAAUCACUGAACAGUAGGAUACGGCGGUAAAAUGCAUCCAAUUAUAAUUCAGUAUGUAUUCACAUAUGAAUAUUACAGUAAGCUUUUGGUUUCAUUAAUUUAUUGCCACCGGAGCCUGCCAGUGCAACUGCUAAACUGCUUGCUAACUGUACACUGUACUGCCUGAUUGUAGCUGGUUUACUAACCCAUUAGUUCUAGUAGCUAUGUUGUUGACUUGAAAUUAGCUAAUGACAAUGACAACGAUGUAGGUUGUAUGUAGCGUUUAGUGUUUAUGAUAUGACGGUUUGGCUUGGAAAGGGUUUUUCACUUGGUCACAGACAGCAGAUGUUUUGUGCACUGAACUCCACAAGCGAAGGGAAAAGUUGAGGAGAGCGCAUACAUUUACAUUUACAUUUAAGUCAUUUAGCAGACGCUCUUAUCCAGAGCGACUUACAAAUUGGUGCAUUCACCUAUAAUAUCCAGUAGAACAACCACUUAGCAUAGAUGCGAGAAGGAAUUAUACAACAAUCUGGCUGCUAUGAAAGUGAACUGAUUUUGCUUGUGAUCAGGGUGUAUUCAUUCCUCCGAUUCUGUUGAAAAACGGAACGAAAGGGGAUAAACGUACCUGAAUGUGUCCAGUAGAAACUCGUUUGCAACUGUUGGACUAAUGAUUACGCCCUAGAUCAGCUAGAUGCAUGCAAGACUGACACAUUCAAUACCGCUUUGCACAAUGUCUGCUUCACGCCAUACAUACUUUGGGACGCAGUUUGGGUCUUUGUGUGUAAAAAAAAAAAGAUACAGAAGCACUGUCAAAGUUGUACAAAAAAAGUCAGCAAACACCGGCCACGAACGAUGUUUACAAUACCACGUUGGUAACAAUCAUUUGUUCUACCGCAACUUCUGGGGUAGCUAGCUUUAGUUUGGUACCUAGUUAGCACCAAUACAACCAGCCUGAAGAGAAUGACCAGAAACAGCAGUCAUUUUCAUUAUUCUUAGCAAUGAUUUAGGAAUCCUUGUGAGUACGUAUUAGCUAGGUUGCCACUUGUUGUUCGCUUAUUGAAAUUGAAUUUCAGUUCAUGAAAAUAACUAGCCAGCUACUUAUCCCUGUUGCCCAAAGCUAACGUUAUAAACAGCCAGCUAGCUUCAUCUGGCUAGUGAGGCUCAACCAGACAGGAUUAUGGCACACUAGUGGAAUUUGCGGUUUGCCUUCAAAAUACAAUUUAUGUCAUUGACAGUAUGCAAAUAAAUACAAAUAGUAGAAUUUUGCAAUACUUUUAUUUUCAAGGCUAACCGCAAAGCCCACUAUUGUGGCUAGUCUCACAUAGAUGGGUCCGACCACUAUUAAUCAAAUAAGAACUGUCGUAUAAAUUAGGGUUAUUUUAGACGAUGACACCUAGCUAUAGCUACUGAAACAGAUUAUGUCGUUUUGCUGUGUUUUUGGGGAAGAACAUUGCAUCCAUGAGCUAGCUAGCUUUUUUUAUGACCAGCACUGUAGGUGCGCGAGACAACUUGACGUAUCGAUGAAUCGUUGUGGCAUGAAAUACGAGUGAUAGUUUAAUCAAUGUGUAAUAACUACGUAAAAAAAAUGUAUGAACGCGUAAAUACGAGUGAUAGUUUAAUCAAUGUGUAAUAACUACGUAAAAAAUGUAUGAACGCGUUACAUUAUUAUGUGACGUGCGUUCAUAUUCAGGUCCUGAUUGGUCAACAAACUUAUUUGACAAGUCAAAUAGUGUUAAAUAGUAUAUUUUUUUGACACGCAAAGACCCAAACGGCAUACCAUAGAAAUCGUUGUUGAGAGUGAAAUUGAACAAAUGAACAAGAAAACAGCACAGCAAGUAAGUGAAAGACGUAGGUUUUGAUUAUGUUUUACU
rnacentral:lncRNA from 1 species